UUUUUCUUUUUUUGGAACACGUUUCGACGGACUCACCGUUGCGGAAUCGCGACGUAAUCGCGAACGACGACGCAUGAUAUAUUUUCUCGUUCUGGCUCGUUCUAAUUGAAUAAAUAAAGCACGAAUGAGGAACGUACGCGCCGUGCAGAAGAAGGAGCAACAACUGUCAGUCGGUGCAAGCGGCCAUGUUGAGCGUCGCGACGCCGGCCCUUUGUAGUGGCGCGGUUCGAGUCCUCUUCCUUAUUUGGUAAACGCCGCGCCGGCAGCGGCUAUUUUACAAGUACUCGACGAACGAAUCGUAUGAAUGAGACCGUAAAUAAAUAGAAAAAAAAAAAGAAAAAUAAAAAAAAAAGAAAAGAAAAAA